ACGUAGGGGGCAAGCGUUGUUCGGAAUUACUGGGCGUAAAGGGCAUGUAGGCGGUUUAGUAAGCUUGGCGUGAAAGACCACAGCUCAACUGUGGGGUUGCGUUGAGAACUGCUGAACUUGAGUUACGGAGAGGGAGCUAGAAUUCCUGGUGUAGGGGUGGAAUCUGUAGAGAUCAGGAAGAAUACCGAUGGCGAAGGCAAGCUUCUGGCCGAUAACUGACGCUGAGGUGCGAAAGUGUGGGGAUCAAACAG
rnacentral:rRNA from 1 species